UGUGUGUGUGUGUGUAUGUAUCUAUCUAUCUAUAUAUAUAUAUAUAUAGAUAGAUAGAUACAUACACACACACACACA